CCCAUUCGGGUCUUGUAAUUGGAAUGAGUACAAUGUAAAUACCUUAACGAGGAACAAUUGGAGGGGCAAGUCUGGUGCCAGCAGCCGCGGUAAUUCCAGCUCCAAUAGCGUAUAUUAAAGUUGUUGCAGUUAAAAAGCUCGUAGUUGAACUUUGGGCCCGGUUGGCCGGUCCGAUUUUUUCGUGUACUGGAUUUCCAACGGGGCCUUUCCUUCUGGCUAACCUUGAGUCCUUGUGGCUCUUGGCGAACCAGGACUUUUACUUUGAAAAAAUUAGAGUGUUCAAAGCAGGCGUAUUGCUCGAAUAUAUUAGCAUGGAAUAAUAGAAUAGGACGUUUGGUUCUAUUUUGUUGGUUUCUAGGACCAUCGUAAUGAUUAAUAGGGACGGUCGGGGGCAUCAGUAUUCAAUUGUCAGAGGUGAAAUUCUUGGAUUUAUUGAAGACUAACUACUGCGAAAGCAUUUGCCAAGGACGUUUUCAUUAAUCAAGAACGAAAGUUAGGGGAUCGAAGAUGAUCAGAUACCGUCGUAGUCUUAACCAUAAACUAUGCCGACUAGGGAUCGGGUGGUGUUUUUUUAAUGACCCACUCGGCACCUUACGAGAAAUCAAAGUCCUUUUGGGUUCUCGGGGGAGGGGUUUCACAUGGUCAAACUCAAGAAAAAGAACGCGAAGG
rnacentral:rRNA from 1 species